rnacentral:tRNA from 1 species
UCCCUGUUGACUCAGAGGGUAAAGAAUCUGCCUGUAAUGCAGGAGACCCAGGUUUGAUCCCUGGGUUGGGAA